rnacentral:rRNA from 1 species
UACGUAGGGGGCAAGCGUUGUCCGGAAUCACUGGGCUUAAAGGGCGCGUAGGCGGGCCACCAAGUCAGGGGUGAAAUCCUCCAGCUCAACUGGAGAACGGCUUUUGAUACUGGUGGCCUCGAGUGGGGUAGGGGCAUGUGGAACUUCCGGUGGAGCGGUGAAAUGCGUAGAUAUCGGAAGGAACGCCGGUGGCGAAAGCGACGUGCUGGACCCCUUCUGACGCUGAGGCGCGAAAGCCAGGGGAGCAAACGGG